rnacentral:rRNA from 1 species
GUGGGGAAUCUUGCGCAAUGGGCGAAAGCCUGACGCAGCCAUGCCGCGUGAAUGAUGAAGGUCUUAGGAUUGUAAAAUUCUUUCACCGGGGACGAUAAUGACGGUACCCGGAGAAGAAGCCCCGGCUAACUUCGUGCCAACAGCCGCGGUAAUACGAAGGGGGCUAGCGUUGCUCGGAAUUACUGGGCGUAAAGGGCGCGUAGGCGGAUCGUUAAGUCAGGGGUGAAAUCCCAGAGCUCAACUCUGGAACUGCCCUUGAUACUGGCGAUCUUGAGUGUGAGAGAGGUAUGUGGAACUCCGAGUGUAGAGGUGAAAUUCGUAGAUAUUCGGAAGAACACCAGUGGCGAAGGCGACAUACUGGCUCAUUACUGACGCUGAGGCGCGAAAGCGUGGGGAGCAAACAGGAUUAGAAACCCUUGUAGUCC